rnacentral:tRNA from 1 species
GCAGGCUGUGGCUACUUCCACUUUUAAUCAGAGGGUUGCGGGUUCGAGUCCCGUCCGCCUGUUCCA